UACGGGGGGAGCAAGCGUUGUUCGGAUUUACUGGGCGUAAAGGGCGCGUAGGCGGUAGCACAAGUCAGUUGUGAAAUCUCCGGGCUUAACUCGGAAAGGUCAACUGAUACUGUGCGACUAGAGUGCAGAAGGGGCAACUGGAAUUCUCGGUGUAGCGGUGAAAUGCGUAGAUAUCGAGAGGAACACCUGCGGCGAAGGCGGGUUGCUGGGCUGACACUGACGCUGAGGCGCGAAAGCGUGGGGAGCGAUCCGG
rnacentral:rRNA from 1 species